UUUAAUAGUAAAAUAAUAGUCAAGAAAUUUCUUGUGGCUCUUUGAUAAUAUCUCCAAAACUAAUACUAGUAACACAUGGUAGGCAUAGGCAUACAGCAAAGCAUGAAUCAAGCCAGUUGCAUGCCGUUUGUCUUUGAUUUUAUCUGACGCAACGCCGCGUGGCUUCCUUGUUAAAGGCAGCUUAUGACGUUAUCAAAUACCACAUCAUGUGCAAACAUGAUUCUCUGCAUCUGUCCUAUAGUAUUUAUUUUAUACACCGUCCGCUACAAGACAAACCUAGUAUGCAACGUCUGCAUGGGUGACGGGACCUACCGUGAUUAUCAGUUAUUCCUCAAAUCACAUGCGUACAAACUAUAGUGGGUCCGGGAGUAGUAUGAUUGUAAAUCUCGGUGGUGAGGUGGUGGGGUCGGCAGAGGAUACCAUGAAGGGCAAAGUGGAUGCGCUUUAUGCGAUGUUUGAUGAUCUUAUCCAUUGCGUGAAUGAAGUCAUGAAGUGGCGAUGGGCGAAUCUCGUGUCUGUUUCUGCAACCGCCUACGCAAUUCUAUAAAAUUUAAACUGCUUGUGAAAAACUGAAGUGAAUACAUCAAACUUAGCUCAGCUUAGAAUUGUUGCCGCGUGAAAUAAAGGCGACCGUAUUUAGUAAGUAUCAUUUUUAAAUAAUAAUUCUAACAUAAAUAAUAAAUAUAAUUUUAAAAAAAUAAUAAUGGUGUGAUAAAAUUAUUGUAACUUUCAAAUAAAAACUGUAAGUGUUUAUUGAAUAUUUUUCAGUUGUCGCAUAUCAAAUACAAAUU
rnacentral:lncRNA from 1 species